rnacentral:rRNA from 1 species
AUUGAACGCUGGCGGCAGGCUUAACACAUGCAAGUCGAGCGGAGCGGCGGACGGGUGAGUAAUGCCUAGGAAUCUGCCUGGUAGUGGGGGAUAACGUCCGGAAACGGGCGCUAAUACCGCAUACCAUCAGAUGUGCCCAGAGGGGAUUAGCUAGUAGGUGGGGUAAUGGCUCACCUAGGCGACGAUCCAUAGCUGGUCGGAGAGGAUGACCAGCCAAACUGGAACUGAGCCACGGUCCAUACUCCUACGGGAGGGAGCAGGGGGGAAUAUUGCACAAUGGGCGCAAGCCUGAAGCAGCCAUGCCGCUUGUGUGAAGAAGGCCUUCGGGUUGUAAAGCACUUUCAGCGAGGAGGCGUUACUCGCAGAAGAAGCACCGGCUAACUCCGUGCCAGCAGCCGCGGUAAUAC